UUGAAAUUCAAACAAACCUGCAAAAGUGUGUCAGUCGCGUCCCAGGCGCUCCGGAGACGUCUCCGCUUGAACUUGAGACGUCUCGGCUGUAUAAAAUUUCUUUUGACGUUGUUUGGAGUCGACUCGGCGCUUUACGGGGACGUCUCUGAAGAAGAGCAGCUUGAAUGCUUGUUUUUCUGUUUUUCUGAGAGAGUCGGCUCGGU
rnacentral:lncRNA from 1 species